CAGCAGCAGCCGCGGUAAUACGAAGGGUGCAAGCGUUACUCGGAAUUACUGGGCGUAAAGCGUGCGUAGGUGGUGGUUUAAGUCCGUUGUGAAAGCCCUGGGCUCAACCUGGGAAUUGCAGUGGAUACUGGGUCACUAGAGUGUGGUAGAGGAUAGUGGAAUUUCCGGUGUAGCAGUGAAAUGCGUAGAGAUCGGGAGGAACAUCAGUGGCGAAGGCGGCCAUCUGGGACAACACUGACGCUGAGGCACGAAAGCGUGGGGAGCAAACAGGAUUAGAUACCCGCGUAGUCCCUGUCUCUUAUAC
rnacentral:rRNA from 1 species